rnacentral:rRNA from 1 species
GGUUGAUCCUGCCAGUAGUCAUAUGCUUGUCCCAAAGAUUAAGCCAUGCAUGUCUAAGUAUAAACCUUUAUACGGUGAAACUGCGAAUGGCUCAUUAUAUCAGUUAUAAUUUACUUGAUGAUGAUUUACUACAUGGAUAACCGUGGUAAUUCUAGAGCUAAUACAUGCAAAGAGCCCGACUUUUGGAAGGGUUGUAUUUAUUAGAUAAAAAACCAACGCCAGCAAUGGCUAAUGGUGAGUCAUGAUAACUGCUCGGAUCGCAUGGCCUUGAGCCGGCGACGCAUCAUUCAAA